rnacentral:SRP_RNA from 1 species
GGGGGGUCACGUGACCUCGACCUUUAGCAGGAAAAUUUUUCCGCUAAAUUUAGCGGGGAAAAUUUUCCGCUAAAUCUAGCGGGGAAAAUUUUCCGCUAAAUCUAGCGGGGAAAAUUUUCCGCUAAAUUUAGCGGGGAAAAUUUUCCGCUAAAUUUAGCAGGGAAAAUUUUCCGCUAAAUUUAGCGGGGAAAACUUUCCGCUAAAUUUAGCGGGGAAAAUUUUCCGCUAGAUUUAGCGGGGAAAAUUUCCCGCUAGAUU